UACAGAGGUCUCAAGCGUUGUUCGGAUUCAUUGGGCGUAAAGGGUGUGUAGGUGGCGCGCUAAGUCGGGUGUGAAAUUUCGGAGCUUAACUCCGAAACUGCAUUCGAUACUGGCGUGCUUGAGGACUGGAGAGGAGACUGGAAUUCAUGGUGUAGCAGUGAAAUGCGUAGAGAUCAUGAGGAAGACCAGUGGCGAAGGCGGGUCUCUGGUCCGGUACUGACGCUGAGGUGCGAAAGCGUGGGGAGCAAACAGG
rnacentral:rRNA from 1 species